rnacentral:rRNA from 1 species
UACGUAGGGUGCAAGCGUUGUCCGGAAUUAUUGGGCGUAAAGAGCUCGUAGGCGGCUAGUCACGUCGGAUGUGAAAACCCGAGGCUCAACCUCGGGCCUGCAUUCGAUACGGGCUGGCUAGAGUACUGCAGGGGAGACUGGAAUUCCUGGUGUAGCAGUGAAAUGCGUAGAUAUCAGGAGGAACACCGAUGGCGAAGGCAGGUCUCUGGGCUGACACUGACGCUCAUGCACGAAAGCGUGGGGAGCAAACAGG